rnacentral:lncRNA from 1 species
GUGAGAAAAAUUUAGAGUAUGACAUCUGCAAUAUAUGGUGCAGUAAGCCACUGUCCAUCCUGCAAGAUUACUGUGAUGCCAUUAAGCUGUACAUCUUCUGGCCACUUCUCUUUCAACAUCAGCACAGUUCUAUAAUAUCAAGAUUGCACCCCUGUGUAGAAGCCAUCCGUUCUCGUGCUGCUGAGAUAAGUUUGAAGAAAUUACAACAUCUUGAGUUGAUGGAAGACAUUGUGGAUUUGGCAAAGAAAGUUGCAAAAAUCUUGGCAAUGGAAGAUGCUUUAAAUUGGAUAAAAUACACGGGUGAUGUAACAAUUCUACCUAAAUUAGGAUCAGUUGACAGUGGCUGGCCCAUGUUAAGUAUUUUCU